AUGGGUUGGAGCACGAGGCAGCGCUCCCGUCGCUAUGCGGUGGAGCUGCGCAGGAGGGUGAGGAGGUUGGCGACAGGGAACCGGGCCGGGGAGGAGGCAAGUGAGCUGGGAGCCGGGGUCAUCCCUCUCACCACCAGUCGAACAUACUACUUCAGCCACCAUGUCGAGCGAUAUAAAAGUGUUCUCUAUUUCAUAGAGCAACAACACAAGAUUGUGCCUCCUCUUGCUCCUGGUGCAUGUUGCUGCGCUCCUUUCUCCUCUGAUUUGACUUGCUUUACAUUGUGUGAAGUUGUUUACUUUCAACUUUACAAAGCUAUAUCCAUAAACAGGGAAUCAAUCUGGCUGGAAGUAGUCAUCUUAUGGCGUGGCAUGAAGAGAUGUGUGCAGAUCUGA
rnacentral:rRNA from 1 species